rnacentral:rRNA from 1 species
CGAACGAUGAUGCCCAGCUUGCUGGGUGGAUUAGUGGCGAACGGGUGAGUAACACGUGAGUAACCUGCCCUUAACUCUGGGAUAAGCCUGGGAAACUGGGUCUAAUACCGGAUAUGACCUUCCAUCGCAUGGUGGUUGGUGGAAAGCUUUUGUGGUUUUGGAUGGACUCGCGGCCUAUCAGCUUGUUGGUGAGGUAAUGGCUUACCAAGGCGACGACGGGUAGCCGGCCUGAGAGGGUGACCGGCCACACUGGGACUGAGACACGGCCCAGACUCCUACGGGAGGCAGCAGUGGGGAAUAUUGCACAAUGGGCGCAAGCCUGAUGCAGCGACGCCGCGUGAGGGAUGACGGCCUUCGGGUUGUAAACCUCUUUCAGUAGGGAAGAAGCGUAAGUGACGGUACCUGCAGAAGAAGCGCCGGCUAACUACGUGCCAGCAGCCGCGGUAAUACGUAGGGCGCAAGCGUUAUCCGGAAUUAUUGGGCGUAAAGAGCUCGUAGGCGGUUUGUCGCGUCUGCCGUGAAAGUCCGGGGCUCAACUCCGGAUCUGCGGUGGGUACGGGCAGACUAGAGUGAUGUAGGGGAGACUGGAAUUCCUGGUGUAGCGGUGAAAUGCGCAGAUAUCAGGAGGAACACCGAUGGCGAAGGCAGGUCUCUGGGCAUUAACUGACGCUGAGGAGCGAAAGCAUGGGGAGCGAACAGGAUUAGAUACCCUGGUAGUCCAUGCCGUAAACGUUGGGCACUAGGUGUGGGGGACAUUCCACGUUUUCCGCGCCGUAGCUAACGCAUUAAGUGCCCCGCC